rnacentral:rRNA from 1 species
AUUGAACGCUGGCGGCAUGCCCAACACAUGCAAGUCGAACGGCAGCACGGCCCAGUUUACUGGAUGGGUGGCGAGUGGCGGACGGGUGAGUAACGCGUAGGAAUAUGCCUUAAAGAGGGGGAUAACUUGGGGAAACUCAAGCUAAUACCGCAUAAACUCUGAGGAGAAAAGCUGGGGACCUUUGGGCCUGGCGCUUUAAGAUUCGCCUGCGUACGGUUAGCUAGUGGGUGGGGUAAGGGCCUACCAAGGCGACGAUCGUUAGCUGGUCUGAGAGGAUGGCCAGCCACACUGGAACUGAGACACGGUCCAGACUCCUACGGGAGGCAGCAGUGGGGAAUAUUGGACAAUGGGGGGAACCCUGAUCCAGCAAUGCCGCGUGUGUGAAGAAGGCCUGAGGGUUGUAAAGCACUUUCAGUGGGGAGGAGGAUUGACAGGUUAAGAGCUAGUUAAUUGGACGUUACCCACAGAAGAAGCACCGGCUAACUCCGUGCCAGCAGCCGCAGUAA